GUUCUUUCUUUUUUACAGCAGCGUAGUAUUCUAUUGUGUAGAUCAAGCAUGUCAAACUCAAAGGCUAACAGAGGCCAAAUAAAUGAGACAUGCAGCCUGCAGGCUGUCAGUUUGACAU